UACGGAGGGUGCAAGCGUUAAUCGGAAUUACUGGGCGUAAAGCGCAUGCAGGCGGUUGAGUAAGUCAGAUGUGAAAUCCCCGGGCUCAACCUGGGAACUGCAUUCGAUACUGGUAAGCUUGAGUCUCGUAGAGGGGGGUAGAAUUCCAGGUGUAGCGGUGAAAUGCGUAGAGAUCUGGAGGAAUACCGGUGGCGAAGGCGGCCCCCUGGACGAAGACUGACGCUCAGAUGCGAAAGCGUGGGGAGCAAACAGG
rnacentral:rRNA from 1 species